AGUGAACGCUGGCGGUAGGCCUAACACAUGCAAGUCGAACGGCAGCACAGUAAGAGCUUGCUCUUACGGGUGGCGAGUGGCGGACGGGUGAGGAAUACAUCGGAAUCUACUUUUUCGUGGGUGAUAACGUAGGGAAACUUACGCUAAUACCGCAUACGACCUACGGUUGAAAGCAGGGGAUCUUCGGACCUUGCGCGAUUGAAUGAGCCGAUGUCGGAUUAGCUAGUUGGCGUGGUAAAGUCCCACCAAGGCGACGAUCCGUAGAUGGUCUGAGAGGAUGAUCAGACACACUGGAAGGGAGACACGGUCCAGAAUACUACGGGAGGCAGCAGAGGGGAAUAUUGGACAAUGGGCGAAAGCAUGAUACAGCAAUACCGAGUGGGUGAAGAAGGCAUUCGGGUUGUAAAGACCUUUUGUUGGGAAAGAAAAGAAGCAGGUUAAUACCACGCUGUUCUGACGGUACCAAAAGAAUAAGCACCGGCUAACUUCGUG
rnacentral:rRNA from 1 species